UCAUCCCUUUUCUUCUUGUUUUCUUUAGGACUUAGCCCUUCUUCUUCAUCUCUCCACUCUAACCCAAGCCAAAACUUUUUGUGCAAACAUUUAACUAUUGUUUUCAAACAUUAGAAACCUAAGCCUUAUGCUUUUGAUUUUCUAACUUUCUUUUCAUAACACUUAUAUUAAAUUGAACCCUUAAGUCAACUUUGACCAUCUUG
rnacentral:lncRNA from 1 species